AGAGUUUGAUCCUGGCUCAGGACGAACGCUGGCGGCGUGCCUAAUACAUGCAAGUCGAGCGCAGGAAGCCGUUCUGAACCCUUCGGGGGGACGAACGGUGGAAUGAGCGGCGGACGGGUGAGUAACACGUAAAGAACCUGCCCAUAGGUCUGGGAUAACCACGAGAAAUCGGGGCUAAUACCGGAUGUGUCAUCGGACCGCAUGGUCCGCUGAUGAAAGGCGCUUCGGCGUCGCCCAUGGAUGGCUUUGCGGUGCAUUAGCUAGUUGGUGGGGUAAUGGCCCACCAAGGCGACGAUGCAUAGCCGACCUGAGAGGGUGAUCGGCCACACUGGGACUGAGACACGGCCCAGACUCCUACGGGAGGCAGCAGUAGGGAAUCUUCCACAAUGGACGAAAGUCUGAUGGAGCAACGCCGCGUGAACGAUGAAGGCUUUCGGGUCGUAAAGUUCUGUUGUAAGGGAAGAACAAGUGCCGCAGGCAAUGGCGGCACCUUGACGGUACCUUGCGAGAAAGCCACGGCUAACUACGUGCCAGCAGCCGCGGUAAUACGUAGGUGGCAAGCGUUGUCCGGAAUUAUUGGGCGUAAAGCGCGCGCAGGCGGCCUCUUAAGUCUGAUGUGAAAGCCCCCGGCUCAACCGGGGAGGGCCAUUGGAAACUGGGAGGCUUGAGUAUAGGAGAGAAGAGUGGAAUUCCACGUGUAGCGGUGAAAUGCGUAGAGAUGUGGAGGAACACCAGUGGCGAAGGCGACUCUUUGGCCUAUAACUGACGCUGAGGCGCGAAAGCGUGGGGAGCAAACAGGAUUAGAUACC
rnacentral:rRNA from 1 species